AGUGAACGCUGGCGGUAGGCCUAACACAUGCAAGUCGAACGGCAGCACUUUAAGCGCUUGCUCUUACGGGUGGUGAGUGGCGGAUGGGUGACGCAUACAUCGGAAUCUACUUUUUCGUGGGGGAUUACGUAGGGAAACAUAUGAUAAUACCUCAUACGCCCUACGGGUUAAAGCUGAUGAUCUUCGUACCUUGCCCGCUUUAAUGAGCCGAUGUCGGAUUAGUUAGUUGGCGGGGUAAAGGCCCACAAAGGCGACGAACCGUAGCUGGUCUGAGAGGAGGGUCGGCCACACGGGAACUGAGACAGGGUCCAGACGCCUACGGGAGGAAGAAGUGGGGAAUAUUGGACAAUGGGCGCAAGCCUGAUCCAGACAGCCGGCGUGGGGGAAGAAGGCCUUCGGGUUGUAAAGCCCGUUUGUUGGGAAAGAAAAGCAGCAGGUUAAUAACCCGCUGUUGUGACGGUACCCAAAGAAUAAGCACCGGCUAACUUCGUG
rnacentral:rRNA from 1 species